rnacentral:rRNA from 1 species
GGUCAAGCUACUAAGGGUGCACGGUGGAUGCCUUGGCGCAGAGAGGCGAUGAAGGACGCGGCCAGCUGCGAUAAGCCUCGGGGAGCUGCAAACAGGCUUUGAUCCGAGGAUUUCCGAAUGGGAGAACCCGGCGGAGGUCAUGCUCCGCCAUUCCGGAGUGAACACAUAGCUCCGUGAAGGCCAACGGGGGGAAGUGAACCAUCUCAGUACCCCUAGGAAGAGAAAGCAACAUGCGAUUCCGUCAGUAGCGGCGAGCGAACGCGGAACAGCCCAAACCAGGCGGGCGCCAAGCCUGCAAGCGUUGUCCGCCUGGCGUCGUGGGGCAUCGCACGAUCCUGUUGCAGCGGGAUCAGGGAGUAAGAAAUCGGUCGUCUAGUCGAAAGUUCCUGGAACGGACCGCCAUAGAGGGUGACAGCCCCGUAGGCGAAAGGCGAGCGACUCCCGAGCGAUGUUCCCAAGUACCACGGGACACGAGAAACCCUGUGGGAAUUCGGGUGGACCAUCACCCAAGGCUAAAUGCUCCUCUGCGACCGAUAGUGAACCAGUACCGUGAGGGAAAGGUGAAAAGUACCCCUGCCUAGGGGAGUGAAAGAGUACCUGAAACCGUGCAUCUACAAGCAGUGGGAGCGCUAUGGCCCGUGUAUGCGGGUCCCGCGCGACCGCGUGCCUUUUGCAUAAUGAGCCGGCUAGUUACCGUCGCUGGCAAGGCGAAGCGUCUUGCAUAGCCGUAGCGAAAGCGAGUCUGAACAGGGCGAUCCAGUCAGCGGUGGUAGACGCGAAACGAGGUGAUCUACCCAUGGCCAGGGUGAAGCUGAGGUAACACUCAGUGGAGGCCCGAACCAAUGUUGGUUGAAAACGGCUUGGAUGAGCCGUGGGUAGGGGUGAAAGGCUAAUCAAACCUCGUUAUAGCUCGUUCUCCUCGAAAUAGCUUUAGGGCUAGCCUCGCGGAUUGCAUCGCGGAGGUAGAGCACUGGAUGGACUAGGGGGCCCAAAAGCUUACCGAAUCCAACCAAACUCCGAAUGCCGUGAAUGUGGACCGCGGGAGUCAGACUACGGGGGAUAAGCUCCGUGGUCGAGAGGGAAACAACCCAGAUCGCCAGCUAAGGUCCCCAAGUGUCAGCUAAGUGGGAAAGGAUGUGGAGACGUCCAGACAGCCAGGAGGUUGGCUUAGAAGCAGCCAUCCUUUAAAGAAAGCGUAACAGCUCACUGGUCAAGUGGCUCCGUGCCGAUAAUUCAACGGGGCUUAAGCUGAUCACCGAAGCUGCGGAUCCGACGGGCCUGCGGGCCCGCCGGGUGGUAGAGGAGCAUUCUGAGGGCGCUGAAGUCGGAUCGUGAGAACCGAUGGAGCGCUCAGAAGAGACCCUGCCGGCACAAGUAGCGACAAAGCAGGUGAGAACCCUGCUCGCCGUAAGUCUAAGGUUUCCUGAGGAAGGCCAAUCCGCUCAGGGUUAGUCGGCCCCUAAGGCGAGGCUGAAAAGCGUAGUCGAUGGGAAACAGGUCAACAUUCCUGUACCGUUCCGCUCUCGUUACGACGAUGGGGUGACGCAGGAGGAUAGACGAGCCUACGAUUGGAAGUGUAGGUUGAAGCGUGUAGGCGGGAGUCGUAGGAGAAUCCGCGGCUCCGUUAACGCUGAGACGUGAUCCCGAGGGCCUCGGCCCGCAAAGUCGUUGAUUCCAUGCUGCCAGGAAAAACCCCUAAGCAGAGUGCGGGGCGACCGUACCGCAAACGGACACACGUAGACGGGGAGAGAAUCCCAAGGCGCUUGAGUGAUCCCCUGUGAAGGAACUCGGCAAAUUGACACCGUAACUUCGGGAGAAGGUGUGCCACCGGCGGUGAUGAGGCUUGCCCUCUGAGCUGCUGGGGGUCGCAGUGAAAUGGCCCAGGCGACUGUUUACUAAAAACACAGGACUCUGCUAAGUCGAACACGACGUAUAGGGUCUGACGCCUGCCCGGUGCCGGAAGGUUAAGAGGAAGUGUUAGCGGACCUUCGGGUUCGCGAAGCUCUGAAUUGAAGCCCCGGUAAACGGCGGCCGUAACUAUAACGGUCCUAAGGUAGCGAAAUUCC